GCAUGGAAGGCUACCUUGCACCUAAGUUUCUGCAGAUCAGGUGGAAGAUUCUUGGAGAGCUUAGAGGCUAGCCCUUUUAGUACAAGAAGACCUUCUUCAUUCAGCUUUCUAGAGAAUUUGGCACGGAUCCAAAAUGGCGAAACAUCAUUAGGAAUCUGGAGUUCAAUGGACUGCCUCGACAUCAAAUGAGUGGAGGGAAGGGAUGACACAAUUCGUACAUCAGCUCGUAAAAUCCUCUUGAAAUGUUCGACAUCAAAAAUAUCAGAGAAUUCACUAUCAUCGCCCCAAAUCAGAUUAACCUGCAGAACAGGCACGACCAGAGCUGCUUCAAGAAUUCUAGCAAUAACAACAGCAUCAACAAUCU
rnacentral:misc_RNA from 1 species